rnacentral:rRNA from 1 species
GUGAGGAAUAUUGGUCAAUGGACGAGAGUCUGAACCAGCCAAGUAGCGUGAAGGAUGACUGCCCUAUGGGUUGUAAACUUCUUUUAUAAGGGAAUAAAGUGAGGGACGUGUCCCUUUUUGUAUGUACCUUAUGAAUAAGGAUCGGCUAACUCCGUGCCAGCAGCCGCGGUAAUACGGAGGAUCCAAGCGUUAUCCGGAUUUAUUGGGUUUAAAGGGAGCGUAGGUUGACAUAUAAGUCAGCUGUGAAAGUUUACGGCUCAACCGUGAAAUUGCAGUUGAUACUGUAUGUCUUGAGUGUACAAGAGGUGGGCGGAAUUCGUGGUGUAGCGGUGAAAUGCUUAGAUAUCACGAAGAACUCCAAUUGCGAAGGCAGCUCACUGGGGUACAACUGACACUGAGGCUCGAAAGUGUGGGUAUCAAACAGGAUUAGAUACCCCAGUAGUCC